CAUGCCCGGCGCAUCUCUCUUUUUAUUUCUUCUUUCAGUUUCUUCUUCCAUUCAGGCCUAAGCUGGAAACACCACUGUCUGAUAAACACUGGCCACACCAACGACAUGGUAGGCCAGGGGGUGAUAGCAAUCUUCCAGUAAAUCAGCUUUUCAGUCUAAACAUACCAGUCAUCCUACUUGAAAGAAAUGUGUCCCUGGGGACAACCUGUGAGCCUUAGCCUUCUGUAGGGAGAAGCACUCUUGAUGGGAGGAAAUUUGGGAGCGAAUAUUUCUUUCAAGACAGAACCUAAGCGGAAAUCCUCUUGGGUAAAGUAUCUCAAUAGGCUGAAGCCUGCCUGCUUCUGACUGUCAAGCCUUUGGAAACAGUCAGCAUCUUGCUUCCAGUUCAUCCCCUCUGCGUCAGAGGAGCCCUUCCCAUAGUUCCAUGAAAGGCUCCUUCGGGCUUCCUACCCAGCUGAUGGGUGGGGAGAAAGGAAAUCCAUUUCUCCUGGGGCUUGAUGUCUCUUCUCUGAUCUGGGGCGCCUCCAGAUUGCUGCCUCUUCUGUUAGAUCACACGACAAGCCUAUGCUGUUCCUGCCAGCACUGCUGAUCAAUCCCCUCUUCCAGCCAACGUGCCACUCUGCGCGGCAGUCGCCCUCCUUUCCCCACUGCACGAUUAGGAACCGUUUCAGUGUUCUCAGCUUUUCCUUCCUGUGCCUGUCAUUUCCCCCACGAACACAAGCUGCUUUGCAGUCCUAGUCACACACAUGGCACCGUUCCUGAGACAGGUCGUACGUAUGGUGCUGAUCAAAUUCGCUGCGCCAAGUUGCCAGGACUUCCUCCUGCAGUGCUCCUUGAAGACAAUUUGAGAGAUGUGUUCUCUGCGAUAAACCAAAGAAUUUGAAAUCUUGGGCUUGCAGGUUGAAAAAUACAUAGUAUCCUCAUGUAUGUUCAUUACUUAGUGUUGGAUGAGGUUUCCAAAGCCAUAUGUACAAAUCCGUGGCCAGUGGAGAGCCCGGCCUGGCAGCACCCCUCAGGCUUCGCCGCUGCCUUGUGUGCAUCCCAAGCAAUCUUUGUCAGCAUCCCCAUGGCCACAAAACUUCCUGGCUCUUUCUGUGCCUCGCUUCUGUUUCCUGUACAUCCCUUUCCUUUUUCUGUCCGUAAAUCUUCCUCCACCAUGUGCCUAAGCUGGAGCUUCUC
rnacentral:lncRNA from 10 species